AUUGAACGCUGGCGGCGUGCUUAACACAUGCAAGUCGAUCGGUAACGCGGGGCAACCUGGCGACGAGAGGCGGACGGGUGAGUAACGCUUGGGAAUCUACCUACUAAUGGGGGACAACCC
rnacentral:rRNA from 1 species